GAGCUGCCAGCUCAGAGCCCAAAGCUGGGCCAGGGGGGCAUCGCUGCAGGUGCCAGCACAGAACCAUGCAGGUGUGUGCCCUCGCCCUGCGCGAUCCCCUCACCACUCCUGCGGCUCAGGCAUGGCAGCUCUUUGGAAACAGGAGAGCCCUGAUCCUGCCAUGAAAGCCAAGACAUUUUCUGAAACCUAUCCCCAUGUUUAACACGCAUGAAUCCUGAAGAUGCCAGCACCCAAAUCAGGAAGUCUUCCAUCUAAUCCAACUGUCCUUUUUCCUGUCUGAAGUGAUGGGCCAAACAUCUGUGCAGAAGGAGGCACAUCCUGGAGGAAGCAUUUCCCCAUGGGUAGCCCCUGCUGCAGGAAGGAAGGCGAUGCCAGACAUGGGCACAGGCACAGCAGAUGCAGCCAGCACCACAACACGUCUUCCCCAUGCCCAGGAAGGCCUCGGAAGUGUCUUCUAUAUGGGAACAGGCUGCUGGGCAGGGUUAAUGGCAGCCCUGCUUCUGUUGGACCUUAUUCUCAUAUUGUUCUGUGUCAGAAUCUGGUGUAACUGGAAGAAGAAAUGCAGCACCUCGGGACAGGAGUUGAAAGACGGUGGCUGCACCUCACACCAGACAGCGUGAGCAGCUCCUCCAGCAGCAGGAACGGCCCGGACAGCCCUCUCAAGUGUUCUGUGAAGAGGACCCCAGAACAACCGUCGACAAGGAAACCUCUUAUUGCCCCGUAGAUCCCACUGCCACCUGCUCUCCCCAUGGGCCUCCCCAAGCUUCCUUUAUUCCUUUUUUUCUCUCCGUCUGUCCCAUCCCAGCCAACCUGAGUUCCGCUAGGGACCCCAGGACCAGCCCAGCACCUUCCCGCACCUCCUGAGACCAACACAUCCCUUCCUCUGCCCCUGAGCCCCCUGGCCUUGCCCUCUAGGCAACACUGAAGGUUGUGGAGGAUUUUGUGAACAGCUGGCUAGCUAACAAAGGUCACACUGACAUAAUACCGUUAAUUAAGCAAGAAGGAGACGAGGAUAGGAGUCAGCAGUCAGUGUCCAAACCUGGCAAGGGCACUGUGCCCUUGGUGCAACAUCAGGAUGGGGGAGAGGAUCGUUAGUUAGAAACAUGAAGAAAAUAUGUAAACAGCUGCAGCAUAGUAGCCUCAAGAAUGAUAAGGUAGGCGUAGUUAGCUGAUAAGUAACUAACCAAUAAUGAGCUCGCUUUUUGCAAUAUGUAUUAGCCUCAUUAACACCAAUAUAAAUGUAUGUGCCUAUCAAUAAAGUUUUGAGAUUUGCUGAUCACUCAUAUUGAGUGCUGCAUUUCUUCUGCCGAUUACCACAAAUGGUGACCCCGGACGUGAUAUCGGUAAUGGCAACCACGGUGGAUCGGUGAACGAGUUCGGGUCCUACAGCAGCAAGGACGGCGAAUAAGCACUGCUGAAAAAGCGAAAAGUGCCGCGCCCUGGGUGACCUUAUAGAAGAGCCCGGCCGAUACGUGCUGCCGAAACCUUGAAGGGCUGCAACAGCGCUGACCUUCUCAAAAAUGGAAAUGGAAAGGCAAGCAGCAUAUGAUUUAUUUACUUGCUUUUUAAAAAAGCGUCAGGUUAAGGGCAUAGAUUUGCAGAAAGAGCUCCCACAGUUGUUAGCCUAUGGGUAUGCACAAGGAGUUUUUCAAAAUCCUCAUACAGUGCAUGAAUUAACAGAGUGGCGUAAGCUCGGGGACAAGUUGUGGGAGGCAGCUAUAGAUGAGGAUAAAACUGCAAGGAAGUUAGGAAAGCUAUGGCGAGUCGUGCACAAUGAGUUAUUACAACAUCAGGUAGAAAAGAAAGCUGCGCAGCAAGCUAGCGUAGCAUAUGAUAAGAAUAAGAGUCAUGGGGACUGCUACGACUGUCCGUUACCCCCUACCACAUCUACAGUCGUUUUGCCACCAACAUCGGCUCCUCCUUCAAGCAGCAGCUCACCCCCCGCGGAUGCUGUAACAGCACCGUCCGCACCACCUGUGCCAUGGCCAGACCCUCCGUUUCCUCCUCCUUGUAAUGAGCCGAUCCCUGGGGCAAAAAGUGACCUAGCGGGGGCCGUCGCAAGGGAGCGAAGGGAGGCAUGGGCGGCGGUAGCAAAAGAGAUCAUGGAUUCGGGGGAUAGUGGAGCUAUAGCUGCAGCGGUGGAGGUUGCUUGUCCGGUGGUAUUUUCGCCUGUGCAGGGGAACAGAUAUGAAGCCACAAUUACAGCGCUGGACUGGAAGCUGCUGUCACAAUUACGGUCCACAGUUAGUCAGUUUGGGGUGACCGGUGAGCCCACAAAACAGAUACUUGAUUACAUCUGGGGGACUCAGGUAUUACUGCCGGCUGAUUGCAGAGGAGUAGCGAAGCUUAUCUUCACUCAGCAUCAGCAGCUCUUGUUUAAUGCACACUGGCAGGCACUUUGCCAGGAAUGUGUAGCGACACAACGGCAGCAAGGCGACCCGUUACACGGAAUAACCCUGGAUGAGCUAAUGGGUUCAGGACCUUUUCUUCGUACAGAGCAGCAGGCAUUAAUUGGUCCUGAAAAAUGUCGGGAGGCUAUGCGCUUAGUACGAAUGGCCAUAGACAGGAUAAAAGAGCCAGGCGGGGUCCCCUCUUAUAUGGGAAUAAAGCAAGGAAGAGAUGAAUCAUUUGGAUCUUUUAUAGAUAAGGCAGCCGCUGCUAUCGAACGGGCAGGAGUCCCUGACUUUAUGACAGGUGCUUUACUGAAACAAUGUGCACUCCAGAAUAGUAACCAGGCUACAAGGAACGUAUUAAAUACCUUAGGAGCUAAUUGGUCUAUAGAGGAAGCGUUAGAACGAUUGGCAAAUAUGCCCAUAGGGAAUCAGGUGAUGUUAGUAGAAGCUAUUAAGGAGUUAGGUGUAGGAUUGCAAAAACAAGCGGCAGCUUCGCAGAGUCAGGUAUUAGCUGCUCUUGCACCCCUACAAGCGGCGGCUAUAAAUAAGCCACGGGCUCCAUCUACUGGCCGAUUUAAAUGUUACCGGUGCGGAGGCAUGGGACAUACGCGACGAGACUGUCAGACAGCUGGCGUCUGGUGCCAGAGUUGUCGCUCGGAUA